rnacentral:rRNA from 1 species
AUUGAACGCUGGCGGCAUGCUUUACACAUGCAAGUCGGACGAGUGGCGAACGGGUGAGUAACGCAUCGGACCGUACCGAGUAAUGGGGGAUAACUGUCCGAAAGGAUAGCUAAUACCGCAUAUUAUUCGAGCGGCCGAUGUCUGAUUAGCUAGUUGGUGGGGUAACGGCUCACCAAGGCAACGAUACAUAGCCGGCCUGAGAGGAUGACCAGCCACACCGGGACUGAGACACGGCCCGGACUCCUACGGGAGGCAGCAGUGGGGAAUAUUGCGCAAUGGGGGCAACCCUGACGCAGCCAUGCCGCGUGAAUGAAGAAGGCCUUCGGGUUGUAAAGUUCUUUCGGUGGGGAGGCGUUAAUCACAGAAGAAGCACCGGCUAACUCCGUGCCAGCAGCCGCGGUAAUAC